GACGAACGCUGGCGGCGUGCCUAAUACAUGCAAGUAGAACGCUGAAGCGAGGAGCUUGCUCUUCUUGGAUGAGUUGCGAACGGGUGAGUAACGCGUAGGUAACCUGCCUUGUAGCGGGGGAUAACUAUUGGAAACGAUAGCUAAUACCGCAUAACAAUGGAUGACACAUGUCAUUUAUUUGAAAGGGGCAAUUGCUCCACUACAAGAUGGACCUGCGUUGUAUUAGCUAGUAGGUGAGGUAAUGGCUCACCUAGGCGACGAUACAUAGCCGACCUGAGAGGGUGAUCGGCCAGACUGGGACUGAGACACGGCCCAGACUCCUACGGGAGGCAGCAGUAGGGAAUCUUCGGCAAUGGGGGCAACCCUGACCGAGCAACGCCGCGUGAGUGAAGAAGGUUUUCGGAUCGUAAAGCUCGGUUGUAAGUCAAGAACGGGUGUGAGAGUGGAAAGUUCACACUGUGACGGUAGCUUACCAGAAAGGGACGGCUAGCUACGUG
rnacentral:rRNA from 1 species